rnacentral:rRNA from 1 species
CCUACGGGAGGCAGCAGUAGGGAAUCUUCCACAAUGGGCGAAAGCCUGAUGGAGCAACGCCGCGUGAGUGAUGAAGGCCUUCGGGUUGUAAAACUCUGUCAUUCGGGACGAACCGGAGUCUGAGGAAAUGCAGACUCUCUGACGGUACCGGAGGAGGAAGCCCCGGCUAACUACGUGCCAGCAGCCGCGGUAAUACGUAGGGGGCAAGCGUUGUCCGGAUUCACUGGGCGUAAAGCGCGCGCAGGCGGUGAUGUAAGUCUGAGGUGAAAACCCCGAAGCUCAACUUCGGGACUGCCUUGGAUACUGCGUCACUUGAGGAUAGGAGAGGCAAGGGGUAAUUCCACGUGUAGCGGUGAAAUGCGUAGAGAUGUGGAGGAACACCUGUGGCGAAGGCGCCUUGCUGGCCUAUUUCUGACGCUGAGGCGCGAAAGCGUGGGGAGCAAACAGGAUUAGAUACCCUGGUAGUCCACGCUGUAAACGAUGAGUGNUAGUGUAGUGGCGUCAUACCACUCUGUGCGACGACGUACGAC